GUGCUGGGUAACAGCAGGAACUAGGCUGGAAGUCUAAUUAAGCAUUCCGUAUUACAACGCUUAAAGACACUCACGGGAUCCCGGACUCUCAUGGUGGAGCUGAAGCCAGGAUGAGAAAUACGUUUUCAAAUAAAGCACACGGCCAAUCUA